rnacentral:rRNA from 1 species
CGAACGCUGGCGGCAGGCUUAACACAUGCAAGUCGAACGCAUCGCAAGAUGAGUGGCAGACGGGUGAGUAACGCGUGGGAACAUACCCUUUUCUACGGAAUAGCUCUGGGAAACUGGAAUUAAUACCGUAUACGCCCUACGGGGGAAAGAUUUAUCGGGAAGGAUUGGCCCGCGUUGGAUUAGCUAGUUGGUGGGGUAAAGGCCUACCAAGGCGACGAUCCAUAGCUGGUCUGAGAGGAUGAUCAGCCACAUUGGGACUGAGACACGGCCCAAACUCCUACGGGAGGCAGCAGUGGGGAAUAUUGGACAAUGGGCGCAAGCCUGAUCCAGCCAUGCCGCGUGAGUGAUGAAGGCCUUAGGGUUGUAAAGCUCUUUCACCGAUGAAGAUAAUGACGGUAGUCGGAGAAGAAGCCCCGGCUAACUUCGUGCCAGCAG